rnacentral:tRNA from 3 species
GGACCUUUAGCUCAGUGGGAGAGCACUUGGGUCACAACCAAGGGGUCGACGGUUCGAACCCGCCAAGGUCCA